rnacentral:lncRNA from 1 species
GUUUCAUUUUAUGGAGACAAAAAAAUGGUCGCUUAAAAAGACACUAAAUUUGGUGAAGAUAGUCUAACUGAGGGGAGCAUUCUUCUUUUCUGUUUUGCUGUUUAGGCUUCUAAAGCAGCUAUUACAUGUAGAACAGUGGUUGCCAAUUAGAGAUUUUUAUCAUGUUAAGAUUUGAAAUAUUAUGUACCAUUCCUUAUAUGUUUUUACAUAAUAUAAACUUAUUAUUACUCUUGCAUAUUUGAAGAACACGUCACAAGAGGGUUUCAUAAGAAAUAAAAAUUAAAAAAUAAAAUCCUCCCACCUGCCCC